GCAGGAGCCGGUGACCAUUCUGGAGGCGGAUGGGGUUAAGGGCCUGUUUGGGAACUGGUCGGCCGCCUGGGUGGUGGAGUUCUACUGGUCGUGGGGCGGCCCCUGUGUCAACUAUGGGGCCACCUGGAAGGUACUGGGCCCGGGAGGUGAAAGAAAAGGGGCAAAACCUACUUUUGAUGGACAAAUAAGGCUCACUGGAGGACCGGAAGGAGACUUGUCCUCCUGCCAUUUGGAGGUCCCCUAUUGGUGAACGCGGAAGUUGGGCCAUGAGGUUCUGAAGUUCCUGCCCCUCCCCUCUCUCAAUGAAGAUUGAGCUUCACUCAGACUGCAGCUUCCUUCCUCUGUCCAACAUCUGGCCACCAGAAGCCUUCUCAGUACUCUACAAGUGACUUCACCAACAUCCUGUACACCUUCAACAUGAUGUCCCAACUCCUUUGUUCAAUGGUGUGAACAAUUAAGCUACCCGAUGAAGGAGCAGCGCACUGAAAGCUAGUGCUUCCAAAUAAAUCUGUUGGACUAUAA